UGGGGAAUUUUGGACAAUGGGGGAAACCCUGAUCCAGCCAUCCCGCGUGUGCGAUGAAGGCCUUCGGGUUGUAAAGCACUUUUGGCAGGAAAGAAACGUCAUGGGUUAAUACCCCGUGAAACUGACGGUACCUGCAGAAUAAGCACCGGCUAACUACGUGCCAGCAGCCGCGGUAAUACGUAGGGUGCAAGCGUUAAUCGGAAUUACUGGGCGUAAAGCGUGCGCAGGCGGUUCGGAAAGAAAGAUGUGAAAUCCCAGAGCUCAACUUUGGAACUGCAUUUUUAACUACCGGGCUAGAGUGUGUCAGAGGGAGGUGGAAUUCCGCAUGUAGCAGUGAAAUGCGUAGAUAUGCGGAGGAACACCGAUGGCGAAGGCAGCCUCCUGGGAUAACACUGACGCUCAUGCACGAAAGCGUGGGGAGCAAACAGG
rnacentral:rRNA from 1 species